rnacentral:rRNA from 1 species
CACUAUCGUUAACUGAAUACAUAGGUUAACGAGGCGAACCGGGGGAACUGAAACAUCUAAGUACCCCGAGGAAAAGAAAUCAACCGAGAUUCCCCCAGUAGCGGCGAGCGAACGGGGAGCAGCCCAGAGUCUGAAUCAGCUUGUGUGUUAGUGGAACGGUCUGGAAAGUCCGACGGUACAGGGUGAUAGUCCCGUACACCAAAAUGCACAGGCUGUGAACUCGAAGAGUAGGGCGGGACACGUGGUAUCCUGUCUGAAUAUGGGGGGACCAUCCUCCAAGGCUAAAUACUCCUGACUGACCGAUAGUGAACCAGUACCGUGAGGGAAAGGCGAAAAGAACCCCGGCGAGGGGAGUGAAAAAGAACCUGAAACCGUGUACGUACAAGCAGUGGGAGCACCUUCGGGUGUGACUGCGUACCUUUUGUAUAAUGGGUCAGCGACUUAUAUUCUGUAGCAAGGUUAACCGUAUAGGGGAGCCGCAGGGAAACCGAGUCUUAACUGGGCGUUAAGUUGCAGGGUAUAGACCCGAAACCCGGUGAUCUAGCCAUGGGCAGGUUGAAGGUUGGGUAACACUAACUGGAGGACCGAACCGACUAAUGUUGAAAAAUUAGCGGAUGACUUGUGGCUGGGGGUGAAAGGCCAAUCAAACCGGGAGAUAGCUGGUUCUCCCCGAAAGCUAUUUAGGUAGCGCCUCGUGAACUCAUCUUCGGGGGUAGAGCACUGUUUCGGCUAGGGGGUCAUCCCGACUUACCAACCCGAUGCAAACUACGAAUACCGAAGAAUGUUAUCACGGGAGACACACGGCGGGUGCUAACGUCCGUCGUGAAGAGGGAAACAACCCAGACCGCCAGCUAAGGUCCCAAAGUCAUGGUUAAGUGGGAAACGAUGUGGGAAGGCACAGACAGCCAGGAUGUUGGCUUAGAAGCAGCCAUCAUUUAAAGAAAGCGUAAUAGCUCACUGGUCGAGUCGGCCUGCGCGGAAGAUGUAACGGGGCUAAACCAUGCACCGAAGCUGCGGCAGCGACGCUUAUGCGUUGUUGGGUAGGGGAGCGUUCUGUAAGCCUGCGAAGGUGGCCUGUGAGGGUUGCUGGAGGUAUCAGAAGUGCGAAUGCUGACAUAAGUAACGAUAAAGCGGGUGAAAAGCCCGCUCGCCGGAAGACCAAGGGUUCCUGUCCAACGUUAAUCGGGGCAGGGUGAGUCGACCCCUAAGGCGAGGCCGAAAGGCGUAGUCGAUGGGAAACAGGUUAAUAUUCCUGUACUUGGUGUUACUGCGAAGGGGGGACGGAGAAGGCUAUGUUAGCCGGGCGACGGUUGUCCCGGUUUAAGCAUGUAGGCGGAGGUUCCAGGUAAAUCCGGUACCUUUUAACGCUGAGGUGUGAUGACGAGGCACUACGGUGCUGAAGUAACAAAUGCCCUGCUUCCAGGAAAAGCCUCUAAGCAUCAGGUAACAUUAAAUCGUACCCCAAACCGACACAGGUGGUCAGGUAGAGAAUACCAAGGCGCUUGAGAGAACUCGGGUGAAGGAACUAGGCAAAAUGGUGCCGUAACUUCGGGAGAAGGCACGCUGGUGUGUAGGUGAAGUCCCUGCGGACGGAGCUGAGACCAGUCGAAGAUACCAGCUGGCUGCAACUGUUUAUUAAAAACACAGCACUGUGCAAACACGAAAGUGGACGUAUACGGUGUGACGCCUGCCCGGUGCCGGAAGGUUAAUUGAUGGGGUUAUCCGUAAGGAGAAGCUCUUGAUCGAAGCCCCGGUAAACGGCGGCCGUAACUAUAACGGUCCUAAGGUAGCGAAAUUCCUUGUCGGGUAAGUUCCGACCUGCACGAAUGGCGUAAUGAUGGCCAGGCUGUCUCCACCCGAGACUCAGUGAAAUUGAACUCGCUGUGAAGAUGCAGUGUACCCGCGGCAAGACGGAAAGACCCCGUGAACCUUUACUAUAGCUUGACACUGAACAUUGAGCCUUGAUGUGUAG